UACCUGGUUGAUCCUGCCAGUAGUCAUAUGCUUGUCUCAAAGAUUAAGCCAUGCAAGUCUAAGUACGAGCUCUCGUACAGUGAAACUGCGAAUGGCUCAUUAAAUCAGUUAUGGUUCAUUUGAUCGUACAGUUUACUUGGAUAACUGUGGUAAUUCUAGAGCUAAUACAUGCGAGAAGCGCCGACCUCGCGGGAGGCGUGCAUUUAUCAGACCAAAAACCGGCCGCGUCUUCGGGCGCGUUCGCCUUGGUGACUCUGGAUAACUUUGCGGAUCGCACGGUCUAGCACCGGCGACGGAUCAUUCAAGUGUCUGCCCUAUCAACUUUCGUCGGUACGGUAUUUGCCUACCGAGGUUCUUACGGGUGACGGGGAAUCAGGGUUCGAUUCCGGAGAGGGAGCCUGAGAAACGGCUACCACAUCCAAGGAAGGCAGCAGGCGCGCAAAUUACCCAUUCCCGACGCGGGGAGGUAGUGACGAAAAAUAACAAUGCAGGACUCGUUCGAGGCCCUGUAAUUGGAAUGAGUA
rnacentral:ncRNA from 1 species